CAAGUCUGAUGUGAAAUCCUAUGGCUUAACCAUAGAACUGCAUUGGAAACUGGUUACCUAGAGUAUGGGAGGGGGAGAUGGAAUUAGUGGUGUAGGGGUAAAAUCCGUAGAUAUCACUAGGAAUACCGAAAGCGAAGGCGAUCUCCUGGAACAUAACUGACGCUAAGGCGUGAAAGCGUGGGGAGCAAACAGGAUUAGAUACCCUGGUAGUCCACGCCCUAAACGAUGAACACUAGUCGUCGCUCUGCUAGUCAGGGCGGUGAUGCACUUAACAGAUUAAGUGUUCCGCCUGGGGAGUACGGUCGCAAGAUUAAAACUCAAAGGAAUAGACGGGGACCCGCACAAGUGGUGGAGCAUGUGGUUUAAUUCGAAAAUACGCGAAGAACCUUACCUAGCCUUGACAUUGAGAGAAUACUUUAGAGAUAGAGUAGUGCCCUUCGGGGAGCUCGAAAACAUGUGCUGCACGGCUGUCGUCAGCUCGUGUCGUGAGAUGUUGGGUUAAGUCCCGCAACGAGCGCAACCCUCGUCCCUAGUUGCCAGCAGGUUAAGCUGGGCACUUUAAGGAGACUGCCUUCGCAAGGAGGAGGAAGGUGAGGACGACGUCAAGUCAUCAUGGCCCUUAUGGCUAGGGCUACACACGUGCUACAAUGGGGCGUACAGAGAGUUGCGAUACCUCGAGGUGGAGCCAAUCUCAUAAAGCGUCUCUCAGUUCGGAUAGAAGUCUGCAACUCGACUUCUUGAAGCUGGAAUCACUAGUAAUCGUAGAUCAGCAAUGCUACGGUGAAUACGUUCCCGGGUCUUGUAC
rnacentral:rRNA from 1 species